UCUAUGUUUUAGAUUCUCAUUAAUCGGCCCGUUGCUAUUAACCGAUUCAGCGCUGAACUCAUUAGUAUAUCAAUAAACGCAGCAACAAGCGUUAUAUUUGAUAUACAUAUAGACCAGUUUAAUAGAAUUAUACAAAUGUUGGUAUUUUAAAUCCGCUAAUCUCACAAAAUCAGCUCAGUUUGAGAAAUGAAAGUAAGUAAAUUAAUCAAACAGAAAAGAAAAUAUCAACAUGAUUUAUCAUAACUCAGUUGCUUUAUGCAGAGACCAUUCUAGUUUGUGCAGAUCCAAAGUGCUUGCUCCAUUUAUAUUACUAGGUACAAUACCUAUAUUAUUAAACCAAUAAUUUUUCCUCGAACGUUUGAUUAGAGCUAAACACAUAUUGAUUUUAUCUCCAAAAACAAAAUCAAUAUUUUUGAGAAUG